rnacentral:rRNA from 1 species
UACGGAGGAUGCAAGCGUUAUCCGGAAUGAUUGGGCGUAAAGCGUCCGCAGGUGGCAAUGUAAGUCUGCUGUCAAAGCGUCUGGCUCAACCAGAUAAAGGCAGUGGAAACUACAUAGCUAGAGUAAGGUAGGGGUAGAGGGAAUUCCUGGUGUGGCGGUGAAAUGCGUAGAAAUCAGGAAGAACACCGGUGGCGAAAGCGCUCUGCUGGACCUUAACUGACACUGAGGGACGAAAGCUAGGGGAGCGAAUGGG